CCUACGGGAGGCUGCAGUGGGGAAUAUUGCGCAAUGGGCGAAAGCCUGACGCAGCGACGCCGCGUGAGGGAUGAAGGUCUUCGGAUCGUAAACCUCUGUCAGCAGGGAAGAACGGUCACUGUGCUAAUCAGCAGUGAAUUGACGGGACCUGCAAAGGAAGCACCGGCUAACUCCGUGCCAGCAGCCGCGGUAAUACGGAGGGUGCGAGCGUUAAUCGGAAUUACUGGGCGUAAAGCGCUCGUAGGCGGUAUGUCAAGUCAAGGGUGAAAUCCCCGCGCUUAACGUGGUAACUGCCUUUGAAACUGGCAAACUGGGGUGUGUGAGAGGAUAGUGGAAUUCCAGGUGUAGGAGUGAAAUCCGUAGAUAUCUGGAGGAACAUCAGUGGCGAAGGCGACUAUCUGGCACAUAACUGACGCUGAGGAGCGAAAGCGUGGGUAGCAAACAGGAUUAGAUACCCGAGUAGUC
rnacentral:rRNA from 1 species